CCUACGGGAGGCAGCAGUGAGGAAUAUAGGUCAAUGGGCGCGAGCCUGAACCAGCCAAGUAGCGUGAAGGAUGACUGCCCUACGGGUUGUACACUUCUUUUAUAAAGGAAUAAAGUUAGGCACGUGUGCCUUUUUGUAUGUACUUUAUGAUUAAGUAUCGGAUAACUCCGUGCCAGCAGCCGCGGUAAUACGGAGGAUCCGAGCGUUGUCCGUAUUUAUUGGGUUUAAAGGGAGCGUAGAUGGGUUGUUAAGUCAGUUAUGAAAGUUUGCGGCUCAACCGUAAAAUUGCAAUUGAUACUGGCAGUCGUGAGUACAGUUGAGGUAGGCGGAAUUCGUGGUGUAGCGGUGAAAUGCUUAGAUAUCACGAAGAACUCCGAUUGCGAAGGCAGCUUACUAAACUGCCACUGACAUUGAUGCUCGAAAGUGUGGGUAUCAAACAGGAUUAGAUACCCGAGUAGUC
rnacentral:rRNA from 1 species